rnacentral:lncRNA from 1 species
AUCACCCUCCUAACGUAUCAUAAAUUGACCACAUCACCCCUCCGGAUGUUUAACCCAUCAACCUACGUAAAACCGUUUAAAUGACCCCUGAGAUGAUUUUGCAUAGCGGUCACGCUGAGGUGUACCGAGAUGCUGACGUGGACGUGAGCUCCGCUUGUAAGUUACCAGGUCAGGAUCCUCUCUCUUCUGAUCUUCUUCUGCCCCUAUCUCCCAUAGCCGCUCCGGCGCUCCAUUCAACCUGCACGUCGUCCUUGAGCAGCGGGAGCCCGGAGAUGAUGUCGUCCUUGAGCAGCAGAUUCGGGCGUGGGCACAGCUGGUAGCUGCUGGCUUUGGUGCCGAAGGUCAGGGCACCCUUGCUGGGUGCAUCUCCACCCCACGCCCCCAUUUCGUCAUCUUCUCCACCUCGUCCAUAAGCUCCGUCGAAAUCAAUGGCACGAUGAGCGAAAUCAAUGACGGGUCGAGUGAAAUUGACAUUGGGUCAAGGGAAAUCGACAGUGGUGCGGACAAACUCGAGACCGCGUGCCUCGAGGUCGGGCGCGGCCGGAUCUGCCGGUGAGCACCUGGCAGGUCGAUCGAGGCCAAUGACCUGUGCAUGGUUGGAGUGCAAAGCAGCCCCAGGUUUCUAGGGAGGCAUGCGUGCAGGUGCUGGUGGAGUCGGAGAACUAGAGAAUGAGGGGAACUGCAGCGCUUGUCACUUGUGGCCGAGAAGAACGG